CUACGGGUGGCUCCAGUGGGGAAUAUUGCACAAUGGGCGCAAGCCUGAUGCAGCCAUGCCGCGUGUAUGAAGAAGGCCUUCGGGUUGUAAAGUACUUUCAGCGGGGAGGAAGGGAGUAAAGUUAAUACCUUUGCUCAUUGACGUUACCCGCAGAAGAAGCACCGGCUAACUCCGUGCCAGCAGCCGCGGUAAUACGGAGGGUGCAAGCGUUAAUCGGAAUUACUGGGCGUAAAGCGCACGCAGGCGGUUUGUUAGGUCAGAUGUGAAAUCCCCGGGCUCAACCUGGGGACUGCAUCUGAUACUGGCAAGCUUGAGUCUCGUAGAGGGGGGUAGAAUUCCAGGUGUAGCGGUGAAAUGCGUAGAGAUCUGGAGGAAUACCGGUGGCGAAGGCGGCCCCCUGGACGAAGACUGACGCUCAGGUGCGAAAGCGUGGGGAGCAAACAGGAUUAGAUACCCCAGUAGUC
rnacentral:rRNA from 1 species